rnacentral:tRNA from 1 species
UCUAAAAUAGCAAAUUUUAAUGCGUAGGAUUUAAGCUCCUAAGAUGAAGAUAAUCAACUCUUCUUUUAGAA